AUGGUAAAACUGAAAAUAUUGGAUUAAUAUUUCUAGAUAGCUGCCGCAUCUAGAUAGCUGCUUAGGAUAAAUAAAAUGAGCUGAUAAAUAUGCGCGUGUGCAACACGAUCGCAUUCUACAAUCAUGUACGCUAUACAAACCAACUCGGGCACGUUAACUAAUUCACUGACAUUAUCAAUUUAUGAUCGCGCGUGCGUGAUUCGGCACAGGCCGGACUAUUUCGAGCGGGAAUAAAAGCGAAAGUUGGCGUUUGAAGCCAGACACAUUAUUCAUAUAAUUAUUUCGUGUGGUCAUAUUAAGACUACUCGAAGCGUAAAGAACAAGAAUUUCUAACACCAUUCGUAAUAGCACAGUAUCAGUUACGUCUUGACCUUGCCACACCAAAAUUUUACGACGAUCCACGCCUCGAGGCCAGCGAGACGAUGUGCUCCGCAUAUCUAGCCUAUCAUCUCUCAAAUCUGCGAAACCUUGAGAAAUAUCUCGGCAGACGCAUCUAUUUAAAAUUGCAAACCGGUGGCCCCAGCGAUGGAAUCUGUCGAAAAAGGCAUAAAGCAACCGGAAUAUGUCGCACAAAAGCCCCUAAAGAAGGUCAACCGGACUCAAGGGUCAAGCGAAGUCAACCGAUGCGAUUUGGUUUAUGGCGCGAGCUUCUACCCCCUUCCCUCCCGUAUUAUUGUAUUUUCGACGAUGAUUUACGAUAGGAGAGAGAGCCGUGCAUUUGUAUUUCCUUCUAAUUUUUUUUCUUUUUCCCCUCCCCGUGCUCGGCAACGUGCCGCGCCCGACAGCAAUGCAGCGAUGCGUCGCGGGACGUCAUCAGCAAUACUCCGAAAUUUCCGGAGUUGACAGCCACUUUCGUCAGCGUCAUUCAAAAAGGCAGCUCUUUUUAUCGAAUAUAAAGCAAUAAACAAACCUAAAACUGUAUAAACAAUUGUGUUUUAAUUCUGUGUUUUAAUUUAUUGAAUAUAAAAGAGCAAUACGUCAAAACGCUUAAAAUAAUGAGUUUUAAUUUUUUUGCUUUCAAUUGUUAUAUUUCUGUUAUUUGAAUAUACAA